rnacentral:rRNA from 1 species
AGUGAACGCUGGCGGUAGGCCUAACGCAUGCAAGUCGAACGGCAGCACAGGAGAGCUUGCUCUCUGGGUGGCGAGUGGCGGACGGGUGAGGAAUACAUCGGAAUCUACUCUGUCGUGGGGGAUAACGUAGGGAAACUUACGCUAAUACCGCAUACGACCUACGGGUGAAAGCAGGGGAUCUUCGGACCUUGCGCGAUUGAAUGAGCCGAUGUCGGAUUAGCUAGUUGGCGGGGUAAAGGCCCACCAAGGCGACGAUCCGUAGCUGGUCUGAGGGGAUGAUCAGCCACACUGGAACUGGAACACGGUCCAGACUCCUACGGGAGGCAGCAGUGGGGAAUAUUGGACAAUGGGCGCAAGCCUGAUCCAGCCAGACCGCGUGGGUGAAGAAGGCCUUCGGGUUGUAAAGCCCUUUUGUUGGGAAAGAAAUCCAGCUGGCUAAUACCCGGUUGGGAUGACGGUACCCAAAGAAUAAGCACCGGCUAACUUCGUGCCAGCCGCCGCCGUAA